CUGGUGCCCGCAAGGCCUCAGCGUCCAGAGCAGCUCUUGGCGUGCUCCUUGCAGGAGGAUCACCUCGUCUGAGCUGUUCUCAGAUUACGGCCGGUGUCCUUUUGUUUCUCUAUUUUCUUGCACAGUCCUUGGACUGGUGCAAGUGUCCUGUUUUACCCCUUUUUACUUGCACAGUCUCAGGACUUGUGCAAGUGUCCUGUUUUUCCCCUUUUUACUUGCACAGUCUCAGGACUUGUGCAAGUGUCCUGUUUUUCCCCUUUUUACUUGCACAGUCUCAGGACUCGUGCAAGUGUCCUGUUUUUCUCCUUUUUACUUGCACAGUCUCAGGACUUGUGCAAGUGUCCUGUUUUCCCCCUUUUUACUUGCACAGUCCCGGGACUUGUGCAAGUGGGGAUUUUUUCCAUUUUUGUUUCCUGGCCUACGGACUCGAGCAGCCCUGCUCAAAGGAUGGAGCGAGUCCGUAGAGCAGUCAGAAGCGCCUUUUCAUUGGCGGCUUCUCGGAAAGCUUUUCUUCGUUUGGCUGCUCGCCUCAGAGGUGGAAGGAGUCAAGCGCACGCUUCGGUCCCGCUAGGAGAGGAUCUUGCCAGUCAGGACUCCUGGGCCCAGGCAGGAAAGGCGGAGCGGCAGGAGAGCACGGACGGAGUGCACGGUGCCCA